AUAUCGACCAUGAACCAUAAAAUAGGCAAACCCAAAACCCCAACAAUAUGACAGAAAACCAAAACCCAAUGUAGCUCGAUCUCCGGUGUGCUCCGACCACAAUAUAAAAUGACGUUUCAAGUGAAUUUCAGUACUUUAAGGCCUGACUUGCUUGAAAAUCAAAAGAAACCAGGAGAUUUUAGGGGUUUCGAGACUGUGUCAGAUCUGUUCAGCGUUCCGAAGCUAAUUUCGGUGAAAAAUUCCACCGAAAACUUGAAGACCCUACUGGUAAAACUUGAAGCUCGGCCAAAAUAGUGACCAAACCCAUAAAAUUCAUUCCCGAAUAACCUCAACUCGACCCUAUUUUCUUCUCAGUUUUAGAUCUCGACCUCGAAUCAAUUUUCUCUCUUAAAUCUUUUAAUCAGUUCUCUCUCUUAUC
rnacentral:lncRNA from 1 species